rfam:Triticum aestivum genome assembly, contig: Triticum_aestivum_CS42_TGACv1_scaffold_050075_1BS
AAAGUCCUCCCUCCGUCCCAAAAUUCUUGUCUUAGAUUUGUCUAGAUACAGAUGUAUCAAGUCACAUUUUAGUAUUACAUACAUCCGUAUCUAGACAAAUCUAAGACAAGAAAUUUGGGACAGAGGGAGUAGUUG